GUCCUCUCAUGAUGGCACCUGGAGAGUUUCUGGUACUCUACUAGUCUCAGCUGCGGGAGGGAGAGGCAAGUAGAGGCCUACCCAUUCCAUUCCUAGCUUCGGCAGUGGCUAGCUAGUGGAAGGCAAUCGACUACAAGU